AACGCACCUUGCGCUCCUUGGUACUCCGAGGAGCAUGCCUGUUUGAGUGUUGUGAAAUUCUCAACCCUCCCCUCCCUUUGCUUCGGCAGAUGCGUGGGGGGAUGGCUUGGACUUGGAGGUUUUGCUGGCCCCUCGUUGGGUGUUGGCUCCUCUGGAAUGCAUUAGCUGGACCCCUUGGACCCGAGCAAUGCGGUUCGUGGCGUAAUAUGUUGUUAUGCGCCUCGGUAAAGCCGUCCGGGAAAAUGGGUCUGCUCACAACCGUCUUCGGACACCUUGCACUUGAAUCUGACCUCAAAUCAGGUAGGACUACCCGCUGAACUUAA
rnacentral:ncRNA from 3 species